rnacentral:misc_RNA from 1 species
UGGAGCUGAGCCGCUGUCAAGC